CAGCAGCCGCGGUAAUACGAAGGUCCCGAGCGUUGCUCGGAAUCACUGGGCGUAAAGGGAGCGUAGGCGGCGUGGUAAGUCAGAUGUGAAAUCCCGGGGCUCAACCCCGGAACUGCAUCCGAUACUGCCGUGCUAGAGGAUUGGAGAGGUAGCUGGAAUUCUUGGUGUAGCAGUGAAAUGCGUGGAGAUCGGAAGGAACGCCCGUGGCGAAAGCGAGGCCCUGGACCUUUUCUGACGCUGAGACGCGAAAGCCAGGGGAGCGAACGGGAUUAGAUACCCGAGUAGUCCCUGUCUCUUAUAC
rnacentral:rRNA from 1 species